ACCAUUCCUUGACCUUUUGGCUAAGAUCAAGGGUAGUAUCUAUUCUUCCCAGUUUAAUAUCAGAUAUGCUGUCUAUCAAGGACAGUAUAGUAAAUAGAGUUCUUGAGCUGGGAGACAGAAAAGGAGCUUGCUCCAUCCACUCUGCAUUGCCUUGGAACAGCAAUGCCUCCAGGAACAGUGGAUCACAG
ensembl:snRNA U2 U2 spliceosomal RNA